GUGAAUCAUCGAAUCUUUGAACGCACAUUGCGCCCCUUGGUAUUCCAUGGGGCAUGCCUGUUCGAGCGUCAUUUGUACCCUCAAGCUCUGCUUGGUGUUGGGUGUUUGUUCCCGCAAGGGGACUCGCCUUAAAGCAAUUGGCAGGCGACAAUCUGGCUUAGAGCGUAGCACAAUUUACGCUUCAUAGCACGAGAGUCGGCAUCCAUUAAGCAUUUUUAACGCUUGACCUCGGAUCAGGUAGGGAUACCCGCUGAACUUAAGCAUAUCAAUAAGCGGAGGA
rnacentral:misc_RNA from 1 species